rnacentral:rRNA from 1 species
AUGAAGCCUUUCGGGGUGGAUUAGUGGCGAACGGGUGAGUAACACGUGGGCAAUCUGCCCUGCACUCUGGGACAAGCCCUGGAAACGGGGUCUAAUACCGGAUAAUACCUUCCCUCGCAUGGGGGUGGGUUCAAAGCUCCGGCGGUGCAGGAUGAGCCCGCGGCCUAUCAGCUUGUUGGUGAGGUAGUGGCUCACCAAGGCGACGACGGGUAGCCGGCCUGAGAGGGCGACCGGCCACACUGGGACUGAGACACGGCCCAGACUCCUACGGGAGGCAGCAGUGGGGAAUAUUGCACAAUGGGCGAAAGCCUGAUGCAGCGACGCCGCGUGAGGGAUGACGGCCUUCGGGUUGUAAACCUCUUUCAGCAGGGAAGAAGCGAAAGUGACGGUACCUGCAGAAGAAGCGCCGGCUAACUACGUGCCAGCAGCCGCGGUAAUACGUAGGGCGCAAGCGUUGUCCGGAAUUAUUGGGCGUAAAGAGCUCGUAGGCGGUCUGUCGCGUCGGAUGUGAAAGCCCGGGGCUUAACCCCGGGUCUGCAUUCGAUACGGGCAGACUAGAGUGUGGUAGGGGAGAUCGGAAUUCCUGGUGUAGCGGUGAAAUGCGCAGAUAUCAGGAGGAACACCGGUGGCGAAGGCGGAUCUCUGGGCCAUUACUGACGCUGAGGAGCGAAAGCGUGGGGAGCGAACAGGAUUAGAUACCCUGGUAGUCCACGCCGUAAACGGUGGGAACUAGGUGUUGGCGACAUUCCA